rnacentral:rRNA from 1 species
UGGGGAAUAUUGCACAAUGGGCGCAAGCCUGAUGCAGCAACGCCGCGUGAGGGACGACGGCCUUCGGGUUGUAAACCUCUUUUGGCAGGGAAGAAGCGAAAGUGACGGUACCUGCAGAAAAAGCACCGGCUAACUACGUGCCAGCAGCCGCGGUGAUACGUAGGGUGCAAGCGUUGUCCGGAAUUAUUGGGCGUAAAGAGCUCGUAGGCGGUUUGUCGCGUCCGCUGUGAGAACCCGAGGCUCAACCUCGGGCCUGCAGUGGGUACGGGCAAACUAGAGUGCGGUAGGGGAGAUUGGAAUUCCUGGUGUAGCGGCGGAAUGCGCAGAUAUCAGGAGGAACACCGAUGGCGAAGGCAGAUCUCUGGGCCGUAACUGACGCUGAGGAGCGAAAGCAUGGGGAGCGAACA